rnacentral:lncRNA from 1 species
CAGAUCUUCCGUCAGGCCAAGAAGCAUCUGAGUCUGAUCUCCCUCUUUGUGUCUGCUGGAGCUGGAGGUACUGGAGCAACACUGUACGGCCUGCAUCUGGCACAGUUCAAUCCAGAUUUUACUAGGGACAGAAAGAAUAACUGGGUGCCCUAGAAGAAACUAGGUCACAGGGAUCAAUACAAAUUCUACUCAGUGAAUGUGGAUUACAGUAAACUGAAGAAAGAAGGUCCAGAUUUCU